rnacentral:rRNA from 1 species
AUGGCGCUGUCCUACAACUUGUUUGGUGCAUCUUUGCUGCUCAGGACCUUCACCAUCGGCCUCACCUUCACGCUAUUGGAUGUGUUCCUCAAGCCUUCCAGCUACUCUAACAUGGUGGCCACGCUUGGGGCCAUUACCACGGCGCUCAUAGCCUUCUUGGUUCUGGCGGCCAUGUCAUUUCUCGUCUUCAUAUUCCUGCAGACGUGGGUCGACAUGCUGCUCCCGUCUGCCUGGCGUCACCACCCAGCACGAACGUUCGCCACCAUCCUCAGCCUCACCUUCGUGGCGAUGAAAGCCAUGUUGGACGUCGUCGUACAGGCCGUCCACGAGCCUUCCGUCGUCUCCGGCAUGAAAGCCAGGCUCCUCGGCGUCAUCGACAUGAUAAACGGUUACCACGGCGCCUACACGGGGAUCAGGAACCUCACCGUUCUAGCCGUUCCCUUGUUAUCCAUGGAGUCGAUGCGCGUGGUUUCCAUGUACAGAUUGUACACCAAGGCGGCCUUGAUCGUCGCCCUAGGCCUCGUGUUAACCAUGCCGCCAGGGCUCACCACCGACGAACCUGCCUUCACCUUGGUUUCGGAUGAUUUCGUCCAGCAAACCAUUAACAACUUCGUCACCUCACAAAUUCAAAUGACAGAUGGUGGAGGAACUGAGCAACUUACUAAUUAG